UACCCAAGUGAUAAAGAGAUUGCAAUGGCUGCUUGGGCUCUUGUAACCAAACAUUCCUGCUUGAAGGAAGCAGAAUCCGAGACUAGCUACAAUUGAUGGAAAAACAGCAUCAAGUUUAAGAUGGGCAAUUACAGGAACAAGAUGAGAUGGGCUGCAUGUCAGGAGGUCACUGUUAAUGCUGGAAACCAAAGUAGAAAUAAUCCUGAAAAUGAACCUUCACAUUCCAACAUUAAAAGACCCAAGUGAGCAGAAGUCAACUUCCUACCCAACUUUCCCCAAGGAAAGGAUACCUCAAGCCUUGAGAAGUUGAGGCAGACAAUCGAUGAAGAAGUCAAGAAGGCUGACAAGAACCUGCUUGUCAUUAGAAAGAUGAUGGAGACCACGUUUCCCCUGCACCGACAGACCAUAGUGAUGUCCUGUCCACCAGUGAAGGAGCUCAUGGACAUCUGGCCCACUCUGAAAAUGGAGUAUGAGUUGUAUGCAGAAUUCCAGCAGAUUACCAAUCAGAACCUGCCCAACACAUUCUAUACUGAGCUGGACUGCCAUCUUACUCGACUUAUGACCUUAUUCAGACAGAAGGCAUCAAAAACUGGGAAGACAGCAGAUGCCCUGGCUGAAAUUCUAAAAAUCCAUGA